AGAUUUAAAAUAGCACUGCAAUUUCCUAAAUAGAACAUAGAAAAGUGACACACAGCUAUGCCAUUCACCUGCAGCACAGCCAUCAGUAAAGUGAGGAGGACGGAGCGCUGCUGCAGCUCCUGCAUUUAACAAUCACUGCAAUAAUGACAACAAAUAUCUCCUUUUUCCUGAGAACAGAGAUAGGGCUGGGGACAAAACAUAACCUCUAGGAUGCCAAGGAGGGUAUUGAUAUUUUGCACAGGCAGCUCUCCUCCUGAACCACAGCAAAUGCAAUCCCUACCCCAGGAUGGCCACCUCUCACUAGUUUCAGGGAAAGAUAAGUUGUCUCUAGCCAUGUUGUCAGAUUGCUUGUUUGGGUCCCACUGAAGCUCACCUUGGGCUGCUGCCCUUGUGUAUUCCUUCCCCACUCAUCCCUUUUGUGAUCUCUGCAGGGGUUUCAUUACAAAUCAGUCUUUUCCACUUUUUAAAAACUUACAGUGGUGAUCACUUGACAUUCACAGUCUUUCCAGUGCUCCCCAAACUUUGUGUUACACCUGAAUGUUUUCACUGCCCGAAUCCGGCCUGUACUUCAGAUUAAGGGAAAAACUGAAUAGUGCUUAAGUUUUGGAGAAAAUCUGGAGCCUUCAGCUGUAAAUUUUUCUUGUGUUAUAUGUCUUCAAGGUCCAUUCAUAUUUUACCUUAUAAACGCUGCUAUUUAUUAAUAACGAUGUUGUUCUCAUAAUUUUGAUUGAAAAACAGUGGUGUAGGGGUGAUGAUUGCUAAAUAUGACUCCCAUGUUCUCCCUAGGGCCUGGGCAGAGUGAGGCAGAGUGCGGUGCUGGAGUCUCCCCAAUCCUGCUAUGGAUAUCAGCAGCUGCCACAUCUGGAGUCCGCAGCAAAGCUCCUUCCUCCAGAGGCCAAGAGCUGAGCCUACUGUUUCCAGCAAGCUGCAGCAACUGGAAAACUCACUGCAUGAGAGAAACAGCACCACAGAAAGUCCUCUGCCAGUAAAUGGGAAAGAUGUGUAUGUAUAAUAGAAUCAUGGAAUAUCCUGAUUUGGAAGGGACCCAUAAGGAUCAUUGAGUUCAACCCCUGGCUCCACAAAAUGCAAUCCAAAAAUCAGACCUUAUGCAGAAAAGCAAGGAGUCACACACGGCUAAGCCCAAAUCCAGUUUGAGGGAUUUUCCUCCAGAGGACAGCCAUAGCCUGAGCCUAAUUAAAAUGUCCAAUUGUAAAUCAGUGGAGGUGUAGGCUGUGGCCCUCUUUACUCUUAUCUCUUCCACCACCUCUCUGCCACCUUUUACAGGUAAGAAUUGAUGCAGAAAAGGAAAAAUGUGGGGAAGAGAACCCAUAAGCAGUUAAACAAUGCUUUUGAAAAAUUCAAAAGGACAUGGGAAGGACUACUUUCUACUGUCAACUUUUUAACCUGCUUUAUUCAAUAAAAAAAAUGAGGUGUGAAUGCUUGACAUGAAAUUCAUACUUGCAAGUAGCACAAGGAGAAACUGCACCUGAAGGCACGGGGCUGUGCUGUCACCUGAUCUCUGAAGGUGAACUUCAGUCCAUUGCUCGCAUUGUUAGUGACAACCAGCAGCAUUAGCUGCUAGAGAACAUGCUGCUGGAGG